AUCAUUUGGCUCAGCCUGGUAAGAGCAUUCGAAUUCUUCUCGAAAGGUCGAGGGUUCAACUCCCUCAAUCGAUA
rnacentral:tRNA from 1 species